AGAGUUUGAUCAUGGCUCAGGACGAACGCUGGCGGCGUGCUUAACACAUGCAAGUCGAACGGAAAGGCCCCUUUGGGGGUGCUCGAGUGGCGAACGGGUGAGUAACACGUGGGUGAUCUGCCCUGCACUUCGGGAUAAGCUUGGGAAACUGGGUCUAAUACCGGAUAGGACCAUGCCAUGCAUGUGGUGUGGUGGAAAGUUUUUAAUGGUGUGGGAUGGGCCCGCGGCCUAUCAGCUUGUUGGUGGGGUGAUGGCCUACCAAGGCGACGACGGGUAGCCGGCCUGAGAGGGUGUCCGGCCACACUGGGACUGAGAUACGGCCCAGACUCCUACGGGAGGCAGCAGUGGGGAAUAUUGCACAAUGGGCGCAAGCCUGAUGCAGCGACGCCGCGUGGGGGAUGACGGCCUUCGGGUUGUAAACCUCUUUCACCAUCGACGAAGCUUCCAAGUUUUCUUGGGGGUGACGGUAGGUGGAGAAGAAGCACCGGCCAACUACGUGCCAGCAGCCGCGGUAAUACGUAGGGUGCGAGCGUUGUCCGGAAUUACUGGGCGUAAAGAGCUCGUAGGUGGUUUGUCGCGUUGUUCGUGAAAUUCCCUGGCUUAACUGGGGGCGUGCGGGCGAUACGGGCAGACUGGAGUACUGCAGGGGAGACUGGAAUUCCUGGUGUAGCGGUGGAAUGCGCAGAUAUCAGGAGGAACACCGGUGGCGAAGGCGGGUCUCUGGGCAGUAACUGACGCUGAGGAGCGAAAGCGUGGGGAGCGAACAGGAUUAGAUACCCCUGUAGUCC
rnacentral:rRNA from 1 species